rnacentral:lncRNA from 1 species
GUCACCACACAUAGAGGAGAGAGAAAAUGGCUGAGUUAAAGUACAUUUCUGGAUUUGGGAAUGAGUGUUCUUCAGAGGAUCCUCGCUGCCCAGGUUCCCUGCCAGAAGGACAGAAUAAUCCUCAGGUCUGCCCCUACAAUCUCUAUGCUGAGCAGCUCUCAGGAUCGGCUUUCACUUGUCCACGGAGCACCAAUAAGAGAAGCUGGCUGUAUAGGAUUCUACCUUCAGUUUCUCACAAGCCCUUUGAAUCCAUUGACGAAGGCCAAGUCACUCACAACUGGGAUGAAGUUGAUCCUGAUCCUAACCAGGUAACCUGGUCCUGUGAAUUGAAGCUUAUCAUAUACCCAAAGCCUUGACUAGAAAUACCUAAAUAGAAUACCAUGGUCAUUGGAAAAAAUAGAUAGUUUUUUAAAGUAUUAUUUUAAUAAAUGCUAAAGUGUGUCU